rnacentral:tRNA from 1 species
CGGGGUGUAGCGCAGCCCGGUUAGCGCGCGUCGUUCGGGACGACGUGGUUGUAGGUUUGUUUUCUUUCAUCUCGACAA